GGGCUGGGUGGGGUGGAAGGCCACGUCCAACACCCCCAGGUCUCGUGUCAGAGUGUGCCCCUUCAGCACCUUCACGGGCACCAGCAGCGGGUUCUGCAGCAUGUCCUUGUACACCAUCCCGUGGUAGACGAUGACACACACUUCAUGUUUUAAAAACAACCUUAAACUUGUAAAUAGUGACAGUAACUUUGCUUUAGGUUUGGGAUGCUUGAUUAAGUUAGGGGUACAGGAAGGUGGCUUUAUUACCGCCACUUCAAAGAGGUGCUGUGAAGUUUAAAAUGAGCUAGCGGAAGCUCUAAAGCAGCACAUCCCAAAGUGGGAUCUGAGAGGGCUCCAGUAUCACCUGGGAACUGUUAGAAAAUGGAGAAUCUCGGGCCCCAUCCCAGACCAAGUAAACUGGAAACGGAGAGGGGGUGGGGGCAUAUCGGUCAUCUCAUAAGCCCUACAGGAGAAACUUGUUAAAGUUUGAGAACCACUGCUCCAAAGAAUUGCACGCAUGUUCACCAGCAGGGAGAUGAAAGAAAGGCGAGGAGAAAGAAACAAAAGAAAAGCAAGAAUCCGGAGGGCGUGAACAGACCUCAAGCGGAGCACAAGGAUAUUUGAAAGAAAACCUGAAGCUGCCUGAUGACGACUUAGGGAAAUCCUGGGUCCGGCCUCUGGGACCUCCCAGGACUGUUCAUCCAAGCAGAAGCCCCUCGGACACCCGGCACCGGCAGGUGGCGCUGGACAGGCAAUUAACAAGGAGGCGGGGCCUGCAGCGGGAAAGCAGGCUCAGCGCUCCCGAGGCUCGGGCGCCGCGUGGGGCUGGCAUCUCUGGGCAGGCGCUGCGGCCGCAACUUACCGUCAGGUCAAGCCGAGAAGCGGGUGAGUCUCUUGAAUCGUUCUGGCUCGCCCCUUGCUCCCCGCCUCUGGGUGUCCCUGCGAGGCAGGGCGCCGGAUCCAGCCUCUGGAGGUGGCUGAAGCCAUACCAUUUUAUAGAAUUAAUGGAGAGCAGACAAGAUAUCACGAACCAAGAAGAACUUUGGAAAAUGAAGCCCAGGAAAAAUCUAGAAGACGAUUAUUUGGUAAAAUAAUAAUAAUUAAUUAAAAGCUAUAAGUAAUUCAGAUGCUGUUCUGUAUCUCCCAGUGUUGUAAAAGUGAUUUUCACCAUAAUCUGCUGAUAGCUUUAUUCUGAUUCCUGGCACUGAUACUGUGGUGGGUAAAGGGCAGCAUAGGAUAUCAGAGAAAGAUAUACUUUGACUGUCACUGAACUAUCACUGAACUGUCACAACUGAAUAAGUCACUGAAAAUUCUGGAUCUGUAAAAUGAGAGAGUUGGACCAGAUCACUUGCAAAGCCCUUUUCUUUCUAACAUUCGCUGAGUCAAAAUUUUUUAAAAGUCAUCAAUGCCCAUAUAACAGCAUUUUGUAAACAUGCACUUUUUUCAUAGGCCCCAUGGCUGCGUACCAAGAGAUCAUCACGUUAUAGAUAAUUCACUGUUUGACCAAAUAAAUUGAAUUUUGGAAUAAGGAUCA
rnacentral:lncRNA from 1 species